CGAGUGACGACGGUGAGCAGCGAGUGACGACGGUGAGCAGCGAGUGACGACGGCUAGCAGCGGCAGCGGCUGCGGCGGUGCGGCGUCUCAGAUACCUUUGCCAAUACCUUUGUCGUUGGGUCGUUCGCAGAGGUCGAUGUUGUUUUGUUCAUCGAUUCACAGAUAAAUCCAGCAAAAUCCAAGUGUUUUCCAAAACUAGCAUGGAAGACAUUCAUAAUGUUUACUUGUAGUUUGCAUUUCUGGAAUGUCAGUAUGGGCCACUGAUUUUCUUGAAGGUUCUGGGGAUCUUUGCUUAGCUUAUCACAAGAAUUGACGAUGUGGCCUGCAUACCCGAGGUAUAUUGCACAGGUUUCUAUUUUCUUCUUCAGGAUUUCGUCUUUUGAAAAUGGCAGCAACUGCUGCUACUGGCCUGCAAAUCAGUGCUGCAAGGCCCUCCAUUUCAUUUACUAACAGAAUUUUCAAGGCUUGCGUAACAAAUGUUGGUGCUGAUUCUAAAGGGUUAUCAUGGGCUAGGCUUGCUAGUACUUGUCAUAUAUCAUCUCUGCAACAUUUUCAGCGCAAUUUCAUGCCAUCUCCUGUAAAAUUUGAGAAGGUUGUUACAAGGGCUAUGUCUGAAUCUAGUGAAAACAAGCCUGCAUCAGUGUUACCAAUUGAUUUGAAAGAUAUUUCCCGAAUAGGAGUUUGCUUCUUGUGGAAUGCAUGCCUGUGAAGAAUGUGACUAA